UUUUGACUUGUAUGUACCUUGUACUCGUACCUCGUUGUUGCCGGCUGCUGGUGUGAAAGCACUGUAAAUUUUCACGACAUGUUUUUCCAACAGCUCAUGAGACGUUGGAAUUUUUAUAUGUUCUCCGAUCCAAGGUGUCCAAGACUUCCUUGAUCUGGACAGACAACUAAUAUCUUGCAAUAAAACGAAAAAUUAACCCAGAAAAGAUGUCAUGCAAUGGUCACCAUCCUUAUGUCACCCUAAAUGAGUAAAUCAGUGGCAUACGAAACUCAUCGGUCCAAUCAAUCACAAAAAGGUAAAUUAUGAACACGAAAUGUAUAUUUAUGUUGUGUUCUAAAAAAAAUGAAAAAAAGCAUGAUGCCUAUCUUCAAUACACGAGAGUACAUUACGAAGAAAUGUGUCUCUAAUUUACGUGAAAAAAAUAUUCCACGUCUAAUUCUCUCUUUUUUUAUUCUGUUUUUGUAGGAGUUGGGGAGGAAUUGGCGGUAUCUACUACUAAAUUAUCGCUGAUAAAACUGAUACCUAUUUGAUGCCAUCUAGUUAAAAGAAUUUUAUCCCUUUCAACGAUAUUUCUAGUGGCAUUAUUCAUAUGCCACUGGAAAUGGCAUUGUAGAAAGAAUCCAGGAUGUUGCGCCACUUUGGGUGCGCCCCUUACCGUUUUUCUCUAGGCCUGCUGUGGUAUGUAAGGUUUGGAGCAUGUUCGGGCUUUUCUUCUAAUCAAUACAACAGGUAGCUCUCAUGUCAUUUUUUUUAAAAAAAAUGGUAUUGUAGAGAUUAUGUAAUUCAAUAGCACUGGAAGGAUAUUGUUUUUUGGCAAGCUGGAAUUGGAGUUAUCCAAAGAGUAAAUUGCACCCACCAUACAAAACAUGUAUAGUUGUAUUAUUUUGGUCCAACAAGUUGUAAAAUGCGCAAACGUAUGUAGAAACUUGUCAACUACAUACUUGUCAAAUGUGCGCUACUGAACGUAUUUUGCCACAGUGGAAGCCAUAUGUAAUGUAAUUUAGGCCACAAAUAUCAAUUUUGAAGUGCGGAAGGUUUAAAAAUACAAAAUUAGCAUUCCUAAGUGCAGGAAGCAAGAUGUCACCUGUAUGCAAAAUUAAUGUGCUUGAUACUCUUUUUUAAAUUAAUCUGGUAAACUUGUCCAAGCAGCAACAAAUUUAAUGUAGUAUUUUAAAAAAUUUAUUGCCAUAUUUUAUUUUUGACACGACAAGCAUUACAUAUAUAAUGGGAAAGGGCAUAAUACACGUAGCCGUAGAAAAAUACGCUCGAUGGAUACAUAUGACUGCAUUUUCAUGCAUCCCUUAGCAUCAUUUGCAACUUGCAACCAUACAAGUUGUUAUAUGGUGGGUCCAAUUUACUCUUAUCCAAAUGGCACUUAAGAAAUUUUACUCUAACACUCACUCAUUGUAUUUCUUUUGCUCUUUCUCUUUUCCCUUUUUACCGAAAAGAGCAUUUUGGAGCUAUGCCUAGCGACAUGUACUUUACUAUUCAAUUCUUUAUAUAUAUAUAUAAUUAUAUAAUAUAUAUAUAAUAUUAUAAAGCAAGUAAAGCUUCUGCCUAAUCUUCUGGUACGUCGUAAUCUCCUUGGACCCACUUGACAUAGCCAAAUCCUCUCCUUGGAGACAGAAACUAUGGGACUUCGAGGCGGACUCAGCUACGAUCGCCGCAUCUACCUCUGAUCCUACAGUACAAAUGCCAAUAAAAAGAUUCAAGCAAUCUCGAGAAGGAUCGCACACCUCCGGAUUUGAGGGAAGGAAGAGCAGGGCAAAGCCGCCUUCGGAUUGCAAGGAGGGAGAGGAAGGGAGGAGCCGCCACCUGCUACGAGCAGCAACGUGGACGACGAAGGAUACCGAAGUCGAGGAUGAGCAGCAAUUGUAGGAUGCCUGCUUCUGCUCGUGUGCGUUGACCUCCUGCCCACGGGGACUCUGUCCUCGAUCCGUUUGCAACGAAUCUAGAGGAGCACGGCGGCAGGAGCAAUCGCCAGUGGUGGCGCGGCGCUCUCCGCUCGGGGCCUCUCGGUCUCUCUCCCAUAUACGAUUUGGUUCGGAUAAGGUGGGUGGUGACGGGAGGAUAAAAAUUUACUGUGAGCUCCAAGUGAGAAAGAAUAUUUUUUUUACCUGUACACGAA
rnacentral:lncRNA from 1 species